rnacentral:misc_RNA from 1 species
GAUGAAGAACGUAGCGAAAUGCGAUAAGUAAUGUGAAUUGCAGAAUUCAGUGAAUCAUCGAAUCUUUGAACGCACCUUGCGCUCCUUGGCAUUCCGAGGAGCAUGCCUGUUUGAGUGUCAUUAAAUUCUCAAGACCUGUCUGCUUUUUUGAUAGGUAUUGGAUUUUGGGGGUUGCAGGCUGUUUCAAAUAAAUAGCCUUGCUCUCCUUGAAUGUAUUAGUGGAGAAAAGCCAUUGAACUCCUUUGGUGUGAUAAAACCUAUCAAUGCCAGGAGCAAUAUCACUACUUCUCUCUGCUGUCUAACUGUGACUGUCUGUAUUAAUUAGUAUGGAUGGGGACAACUUGACCAACUUGACCUCAAAUCAGGUAGGACUACCCGCUGAACUUAAGCAUAUCAAUAAGCGGAGGA